rnacentral:lncRNA from 1 species
GUGUCUGCACAGAAACAGAUGGUACCAACCAAUGAAGAUUAUCCAAGAAGAUUUAUUUAUAAGUUAGCUGCAAAUCCUGAUUUGAACUGUUUGAGGGAAAGAAGAAGGAAAGGCACUUGGCAAUUGUGCCUGGCGAACACGGAAUUUUGUGUCAGGCUGCUCUCUGCAUCUGUUUCCCGAGUCGUGUCUGGGAUACUGAUCUGGUCGAUGAAGACUGACCCCAGAGUUGUCCGAAGAGCUCUCAGUGCUUCUGACCCUCAGGAAUCCCUGUUUCCCUGAGCUAUUUGCCGGGUCUCUCUUAGGCUUUGCUCUACGAAGGGUGAGACCUCACUCCCAGGCAGGUGACCUGGCUUCCUGCUGUGUGGGCUGGGAGAGGAGGUAAACAUUCUC